rnacentral:lncRNA from 1 species
GAAGUGUUAGGAGCCAUAACUCGAGUUUUAGAACGAAAUUUUGGCUCAAACUUUGGGAGAAUGUAAAAAUUUGUAUUAAAAAGCUAUCUAUAUAAGUUUCGUGGCAUUUGAACUUAUGUUUUGUGAGAUAUGAAGAAAAUUGCGCAUGGGUAUAUAAAGAUUAGGGUUUGAAGCGAUUGUUAGGGUUUUGAAGAUAUCUCAAGAUCCGCGACGAAUUUGCCGUUAAAAUUUGUUGUACAAAUUAAUAACAAC